GACGCGUCUUCCUCUCGCGCUCUCCUGUAAUGUCACUUUUGAAAAUCCGUUAUCAAACGCUUUCUUCACAGAAUGGACUUUUAAGACGCACUAACCGUGACUGUGCUCAGUUAUCCAAAGAGAAGAAAAGGUGAGAAGGCAACAGAGCUCCACACUCUUCUUCAAAAAGCUCUCCGCUCAAACACAGCAGAGCAAUUUUACACUACCGCACAUCUUUGGAGAAGCAGUGGGAGGUCACUUAAUGCCUUUACUGAGGAAACAGACAGAGAGAUUAUUUUUGUUUCUUAUAAUAUGAUUAGUAGGUAUGCAGCCUGCUGUGACUUGACAUUUCACAUUGUGAUAGGGACUUUUAUUUGCCUCUGUUGCUUUGUUUCUUUAAUUUGGUUCCUUAUUCUAUAUUACUGGUCAAAAGUUUGGAAUAAUUCAAAUUAAAAAAAAUAAUAAUAAUAAUGUUUUUGAAAGAAGCUAGUUAUGCUCACAAAGGCUGCAUUUAUACUACAGUAAAAAUAGUAAUAUUUUGAAAUAGAAUUACAGUUUAAAAUAAGUUUUCUAUUUGAAUAUAUUGUAAAAUGUAAUUUAUUCCUGUUUUAGUGAAAUUUUCAGCAGCCAUUAUUUCAGUCUCAGUGUCACAUGAUCCUUCAGAAAUCAUUCUAAUAUACUAAUAUUUCUUAUUAUUAUCAAUGUUGAAAACAGUUGUGCUGAUUAAUAGGUUAGUGGAAUCUCUGACACAUACCAUUCAAAAGUUUCGGAUAAGUCAGAUUUGAAAUAAUAAUAAACAACAACUAUUAUUAUUAUUAUUAUUAUUCAGAAAGGACACAUUAAACUGAUCAAAAGUGACAAUAAAGACACUAAUAAUGUUACAAAAGAUUUAUAUUUUAAAUAAAUCAUGGCAUAAUAAUAACAAUAAUCCUUUUAUUCAGAAAGGACUUUAAACUGAUCAAAAGUAACAGUAAAGAAACUGAUAAUGUUACAAAAGAUUUACUGUAUAUUUUGAAUAAAUCAUGGCACAACAACAACAACAAUAAUACUGAUAAUAAUAACAACAAUUAUAAUUGUGCACCAAUAAUACUUAAUAAUAACUGAGUUCCAAAUCAGGAUUUCUGAAGGAUCAUGUGACACUGAAGACUGGAGUAAUGUCUGCUAUUCAGCUAUCACAGCUAUUUUUAAAAAUAUAUAUAAAUAGAAAGUUGUAACAAUAAGUAAUUUAUAAUAUUACUGCUAUCACUGUAUUUUUAGUCAAAUAAAUGCAGCCUUGAUGAACAUUAUAAACGUCUUUCAAAAACAUGAAUAAAUCUUAAUUAUUCUAAACCUUUUAAUUGUAGUUUUAUAUUUUUGGCUUGACAACACCAUGAAUCAAAACACAAACUGAGUUGCUUUUAAUUAUUCUCUGCUUAUCUUUUCUUUUUUCUUAGAGAAGUGGGCAUCCUGAGGAAUGAAAUGAAUAAGACCUGUGAUGUGAUGUCUUGAAUUCAGGUCGGUGCUAAAUCACAUCACAUCACGUCUGCAGUCAUACUGUUCACAUGCAUGCAUUCAUCCACCUGUGCCUGUCACCCAGUAACUUUUACACAAAUAAACUCAUCAAAGACAUUAUGAGAAAUUACACAGGAGAAGCACCAUAUGCAUGAAAACACGGACUCGCAUACGAAAGCACUGCACACAUGCAUGUGCCACUGAUACACAUAGAAAGGUCUGUCGUUGUUAAUAUCAUUCUGUCUGCUAAGUGAACAUCUCAGUCACCUCUCAUUUCCUUCUUCUCAUCUCCAUCGUUCUCACUCUCUUUUUUACUCUUUCACACACAAGUAGACACAUCAUCUUCAUCAUCACCAUCACUGGACACGCACACGCAGGCAUUUCCAGAAAUGGAGAGACGCUCUUUCUGAGUGAAAGAGGGAGAGAUGACAAGUAAGAGGAGAGAACACAGGAAGCACAUUAGUUAUCGGUCUCUCCCUUUCACAUCCCAUUAGAGUUAUGCUCUUCCAUCUGCUCCCUCACUCUUCUUCACCUCUAACAGUCUGCCCUGCUGCACUUUACUACAGCGGCCUACCUGACUAAAUGACACUUCGCACACUACACACACAGAUGACCAGCUGAAAUACUUACAGAGCUGCAGGAUGAGAAACAGAAGCAACGAUUGAUGGAAUAAAAUGGAUAGAAAGUAAGAUUUAUUUUUAUAUAGACUUUUUUUUUUUUUUUAUAAAGAUUAUUGCAAUAUGUUCCAAGGAUAGUUCUAUUUCAGUUUUUCUACGUCAAAAUUCCACACUAACUUCAUUGUGUUACUUGCCAUUUCUUUUAAUUGAUCGUGAAAUUUACUAGCAAUUUCUGUGUGAAAAUAGUUUCUACACCAAAUGUUCAAGUUAACAAAUCUGUUUAUAUAUAUAUAUAUAUAGUGUCAUAUUUACAUAAAUAUAGUAGAAUUGUAUUGCACAUUUUAUUUUUAUUUACAUCAUUUAAUUUAAUUUAUAUAUUGUUAUUAGUAUUUAAUAAUAUUAUAUUAAAUAUAAUAUAUUGGUAGUAGUAUUUAAUAAUUUUAUUAUUAAUAAUAUUUACUUACAAUAUGUUUCAUAUAUUGUAAUAAUUUCUUGCCAUAUUGCUAAGUAUAAACUAUACUUUUAAAAAGUUUGGGAUUGGUAUGAGAUUUUUGCAAUGUUUUUUGAAAGAAGCCUCCUACGCUCACCUAGGCUGCAUUUUUAAAAUCAAAAA